GGGCGGGUCUAUUUUGAAUCCAAAUAAAAUUCUAAGGGUUGAUUUGAACUAAACAUACAAACGACUGAAUUGAAAACCAUUUAACAACAAAGGGAUUAUUAAAGCAAUUUAACGCAAAAAUCUUCUCUGACGUGUGGAUUUGGAUAUUCAAAACGGUGCCGUUCAAACAAUGGAUCCAAUCGAAACAGAAAUCCAAUAUAAUGUAUAGAUUAGACUAAUAAUAAAAAUUGAAUCAAAACCAUGCAAAAUAUAGAAGGACUCCUCGCGCAAAUGGACCAUUGAAGCAAAACGCGCGGAUCCUUCCCUCGGACCGGGUCAUCGCGCGGGUCGGAGGCUUCUAAAUGACGCAAAAUCAGAGGCUGAAACCCUAGCAGCUUCCAGCACCGUUCUCCCCAGCCACGCACGCCUCCGUACAGCCUUCACACACCACCACGGCUGCGCAUACGUCGUACCGGCAAGAACGACAAGCAAACAAAAAGCGCAGAAAUCGACAGCAAAUGAAAAAGGACAGAUUUCUUUUGAUUUUUUGAUUUUAUUUUGUUUUUUUCAUUUUCGGCUAUAAAGGCCGAUUUAAGAAUCUGUAAACACACACACAUAUUGAAUACAAAAAAAAUUCAGAGAAAUCAAAAAAAACUUGAAAGGUGAUUGUAGAUUUCCUUUUUCUUUUCGUUCUUUCUUCUGCUUCGUUUUUUGAUACUUAUUCCAUAUUCGGUGCAAAAAAAAAAGAAAAUAGGAUUUAAAGGAUCGAGGCUUACCUGGUGGCUGACUCUCCUUCUAUUCCGUCAUAAUUGGGGUCGGUUGGAAGAAAAUGGCCUUCGGUUAGCCUGCGCAUGGAGCGGGACAGAGAACCUUUAGGGUUCUUUAGUUUUUUUAUCUUUAUUUUUUUCUUAGAAAAUGAUAGGCUG
rnacentral:lncRNA from 1 species